rnacentral:misc_RNA from 1 species
GCAAACUUGGUCAUUUAGAGGAAGUAAAAGUCGUAACAAGGUUUCCGUAGGUGAACCUGCGGAAGGAUCAUUACUGGGUUAACCAUUUGGCUUCGGCCAUCUCACCCACCCUCUGUCAUCAGUAUUCUUUACUUCGGUCGCAGGCAGUGGCUCGUCUACUGUCACGGCCGGUCUUCAAACUCCAACGUAUUUUAAAAUGUCUGAAGAAAAAGAAAAAUCGAAUCAAAACUUUCAACAACGGAUCUCUUGGUUCUGGCAUCGAUGAAGAACGCAGC